rnacentral:rRNA from 1 species
CUUGACACUGAACACUGAGCCUUGAUGUGUAGGAUAGGUGGGAGGCUUUGAAGCGUGGACGCCAGUCUGCGUGGAGCCGGCCUUGAAAUACCACCCUUUAAUGUUUGGUGUUCUAACGUAGGCCCGUAAUCCGGGCUGCGGACAGUGUCUGGUGGGUAGUUUGACUGGGGCGGUCUCCUCCCAAAGCGUAACGGAGGAGCACGAAGG